rnacentral:rRNA from 1 species
GACAGAGGAUGCAAGCGUUAUCCGGAAUGAUUGGGCGUAAAGCGUCUGUAGGUGGCUUUUUAAGUCCGCCGUCAAAUCCCAGGGCUCAACCCUGGACAGGCGGUGGAAACUACCAAGCUGGAGUACGGCAGGGGCAGAGGGAAUUUCCGGUGGAGCGAUGAAAUGCGUUGAGAUCGGAAAGAACACCAACGGCGAAGGCAGUGUCCUGGGGAGUACCUGACGCUCAGGUGCGAAAGCCAGGGGAGCGAACGGG